UACGAAGGGUGCAAGCGUUACUCGGAAUUACUGGGCGUAAAGCGUGCGUAGGUGGUUUGUUAAGUCUGAUGUUGAAAGCCCUGGGCUCAAACCUGGGAAUUGCAUUGGAUACUGGCAGGCUAGAGUGCGGUAGAGGAUGGCGGAAUUCCCGGUGUAGCAGUGAAAUGCGGUAGAGAUCGGGAGGAACAUCUGUGGCGAAGGCGGCCUCUGGACCAGCACUGACACUGAGGCACGAAAGC
rnacentral:rRNA from 1 species